rnacentral:lncRNA from 1 species
CCCCCCCCCCCCCCCCCCCCCCCCCCCCCCCCCCCCCCCCCCCCCCCCCCCCCCCCCCCCCCCCCCCCCCCACUGGCUGGCCCGGCCGGCGCUGCCCGCCGCCAGCCCCAGCGCUGAAGGUGCGUGCCGGCCGUGCAAUGACACCGAGAUCCUGAUGGCCAUUUGCACUAGUGACUUUGUGAUCCGCGGCAGCAUCCGCAGCGUCUCCAACGACGCCGAGCUGCAGGAAUCCAUCAUCGGGGUGAGCGCCACCCGCAUCCACCGGCAGAAAUUCCCGCUCUUCCGGGCGGGCGGAGAUCGGAAGAGCGGGUCAGCAGGAAUGCCCCCC